rnacentral:rRNA from 1 species
GACAGAGGCCUCGAGCGUUAGGCGGAAUCACUGGGCUUAAAGCGUGUGUAGGCGGAUCGUUAAGUGCCUUGUGAAAUCCCACGGCUUAACUGUGGAACGGCUCGGCAUACUGGCGGUCUUGAGCCAUCUAGGGGCGACUGGAACAAACGGUGGAGCGGUGAAAUGCGUAGAUAUCAGGAGGAACACCGGUGGCGAAGGCGGCCUGCUGGGCUGUUGCUGACGCUGAGGCGCGACAGCGUGGGGAGCAAACAGG